rnacentral:lncRNA from 1 species
AUAAUGUUAGUAAUUAAUUGAGAACAUAUAUCUUAUCUAAGUUAAGCGCUUAAACUACCAUUGCAGCCCUUCUUUUAGCCAAACUCAUAGCACCACAAGUAUGAGGAAGUUGAUUUUUUCGAAUCUGUGCAUUCUUCUUGCAACGCUCCUACAAAUUAAAUAGGUGAAAUUCUAUUAUACAAGACCAAAAUAAGCAAAAGCAGAAGCAAGAGAAGUAGUAGAGAAGAAGAAGAAGAAGCAACAGAAGUAGAUACAGUAGCAGAAGCAGCAGCAGAAGCAAAAGAAGAAGCAGAUAGCAGUAGCAGAAGCAACUAUAAAGCUUGUUAACAUUUUUUCCAGCAAAAGAAGAAGCAGAUAACAAUUCUAAUAUCAUACUCAUCGCCUUGUCAGUCAUUCGACAAAGACACUUUAUAUGAUAUAUUUUGAUUAGAAAGGACAAUUUGGAAUACUUCGUACACCCUUCGUAUAAUGGUUGAUUGCCAUCUUCGACCAAUUCAUAAAACUUUGUAUAAUCUUCAUUAUGCCCCUCAACGUGCCCUUCAUCAAAUAUUUCUUCUCUAUUUAUAUGAUUAGAAAACACACCAGGCUCGUUGACAUUGUUCCUGGUGAACCCAAACGCAUCAUUAAUCAUAAUUUCCAUUGGAUCUUGGGGCUGUAACUUAUCUUCUAUGAUAUGGGUGCUCUGAGAAGUCUGUUGCACGGUUGCAUCUGAUUCUUCACCAUGCCAAUACCAAAAUGUGUAGUUUUUUGGAAAAGGUUUAAGAAUCAGGUGCUCUUCAACUACAUCUCUUCUUUGCCACUUGUUAAAACCAUAUUUUGGACACGGACACUUAAUUACACGCCCAUCAACUUACCCGUGCUCAAAAGCAAAAUCCAAAAAUUGUCUUAGACCAUCUGCAUAUUCAGGUGUGUUUCGUGGUUUGCUAAUCCAAGAUUAUCAAUUGGCAUGGCUAGAAAGGAAGACAUAAGAUAACAUCACAAUAUUAAAACUAAAAAGAUAGUUCAAAAGCUUAUAUGUGAAAAACAUAACCUCUGAAUAUAUCCACUUAAUUUGAAAAACCAUUGCCAACUUAAUUAACAUGAAAAGUCACAUCAUUUAUACAUUAAUUAAUUUUGAAUGCAACCUCGUAUUGUAAUCUCUUCAAAUGCAGAAUUGUUGAAUGUCAAAUACAGCUCUUUAAAUGGUAAACAAAUUAAGAAAUGGUCUAUUAAUACUUGAAACAAAAGUACUAUUUAGGUUUCUUGUACAGUUAAAGUUUAACUUCAGAUUAUUCCUGCAUUUUUGCUUUUAGUUUCAAAAUUCAUAAAGCCUAAGGAAAAACAUAACCUGCAAUAAUUAGUGAAUAUAUCCACUUAAUCUGAACUAAGUUUUUCUCUAAAAAUAUUUGCUCAUACACAGUGUCAAACAGUUAACUUACUACUUCAGAUUCUUACAGUUGGAUGGCAUAUCUUUCUACCUAUACAAUUGGAUGGCAUUGUCUACUCGGAGAAAUAGAAGAAUCUGAAGUUAGAAAAUUGGGAGCUCAAUUUGUGCUAAACUAUAAAUGUUUCCAGCGUUAUUAGAGGGGAAUGCAUUACCUCAGCUGCAAUUGUUUGGAGAUUGUGAGUUUUACAUUCCAGCAGCCUUCAAUAAGAAUGAAUCGGGAGAAGUAAUUGGGGGAACUAGAAAUUAGGGGAAAGAUAUACGAGACUUAUGGAGGGAAAGGAAUUGGGGAAAUUCUGGAGGGAGUCUCAAAAUGUGAGGAGGAAAU